UUAUAAAUUAAAAAGAGAGAAAAAAGAAUCUAAAAUAUAGAAACAAAAUUACUGUAAAAAAUGGAAACCGUGAGGAUUUAACCGAAUCUUGGUGUCCGUAAAUUUUUGCUCAUAUUAAUAAAACCCUCAACAGAAAAAUACAGCUCCACACGAUUCAAAUCUUCUAUUUUUCUUUUCGGAAUUUUCAAUCCCAUCAAGUUGAGGUGUUGGAGUGGAUUUAGAAUAAUGUUGGUUCAUUUUCCUAGUAACCCAAACAGGGUGCUAUGUCUAUCUAACUUUAUGUUCAAUUUUCUUGCUUAUUCUUGGCAACCACAACAACGGGUUUUUAUUUGUUUAUAAUUGUUUGGAUUUUGGUGUGUGUGGGGGUGUUCUUCGAAAGUAAAGAAAUUCAUUUGUUUGAAUUGCUGGAAAAGUUUGAUAAUUGAAAUGGCGGAGGAGGAAUUAGUAAAACUUAAGUUCCGAUUGUAUGAUGGAUCGGAUAUGGGUCCAUUUCAAUACUUGCCUACUUCUAACAUUGCUAUGCUCUGGGAAAGAAUCGUUGCUGAGUGGCCCAAAGUGAUUGAUGGCAUCACUGGUCAGUGGGAGGCUUAAAUGGUAAUUGGUUUGUUCGUAUCUGCAAGAUUUCUGGCUUUGACAUAGGUGGGCAAUUGAUAUGGUAUUGUCGUAGGACACUUGUUAAAUUGUUUCUACAAGUUUGCUUGUUCCCCAUUCUUUCAUACCAUGGUAAGUAUUCGUAAAUCUCCAGCAGCUUCACCUUUUGUUUUUAGAUCCUAUAAAAAGAUUGCGCCUAAGGGAGCCAAUGACAUCAAACUAAUAAAUACUGGAAAAAUUUUGGAGAACGAUAAGAUGGUUGGCCAGUGUAUAGGACCUUUCGGUGAUCUCUCUAAAGCAGUCAUCACCAUGCAUGUUGUUGCCCAACCGUCUGUAGCAAAAGUGAAAACAGAAAAGGAGGAGGAUGGAGUGCCGAGGAAAAACUUGUAUCCGUGUUCCAUAUUAUAAAAUAGAAAUUGAUGCUGAUUCAAGAGUCAUGCUGCUGAAAGGGCCUUAAGGGUCGCGGGAAGCACUAAACAGUAGCAGAACAGUGCCAUCCCUCAUUGUUACAUGGUAUGUUCGAUGGCAUUCUCGAGUAACAGUGCCAUCCUAAAUGGGUGUCUCUUGCAUUUGAUAGCCGCUUUUAGUUUUUAUUUGUUCACUUGAUUAUAUUCAUCUAUAAUGGAAAGAUUAUGGAUUCAUUGACAUCUACACGAUCCUCUUGGAGCCAUGACCUUGAUCCCAUCUCGUUAUAUUAAGAUUGGGGAAUAGAUUUGGACCCUUUCUGAACCCUUCCAAAUUAUAUUGUAUUUAAUGCCAUAGUUUUCUCCCUUUUUCUUUUUUUGCAUUAAAUAUUGGAACUCCAUAAA